ensembl:sRNA
GGCGCUAGUGGUGGCACGUCCACGCUGCUGGGCCGGGGUUCAAGUCCCCGUGGCGCC